rnacentral:rRNA from 1 species
GACGAACGCUGGCGGCGUGCCUAACACAUGCAAGUCGAACGGAAAGGCCCUGCUUUUGUGGGGUGCUCGAGUGGCGACCGGGUGAGUAACACGUGAGUAACCUGCACUUGACUUUGGGAUAACUUCAGGAAACUGGGGCUCAUCCGGGCAAGGAGUUACCGCUGCUUGGUGGGGGCGGGAAAGUUUAGGCGGUUGGGGAUGGAAUCGCGGCGUAUCAGCUUGAUGGAGGGGUAGUGGCUUACCAAGGCUUUGACGGGUAGCAGGGCUGCGAGGGUGACCUGCCACAUUAGGACGGGGAUGCGACCCGGACUCCUACGGGAGGCAGCGGUGGGGAAGAUUGCACAGUGGGCGGAGGCCUAGUGCAGUAACGCCACGUGCGGGAUGACAUCCAUCGGGUAGGGUACCACUGCCGUCUUUGACGAGACGUUAGUGACGGUAAUGGGUAAAGAAGCACCGGCUAACUACGUG